AAUAGAUACCCCGGUAGUCCACGCCGUAAACGAUGAGUGCUAAGUGUUAGGGGGUUUCCGCCCCUUAGUGCUGCAGCUAACGCAUUAAGCACUCCGCCUGGGGAGUACGGUCGCAAGACUGAAACUCAAAGGAAUUGACGGGGGCCCGCACAAGCGGUGGAGCAUGUGGUUUAAUUCGAAGCAACGCGAAGAACCUUACCAGGUCUUGACAUCCCACUGACCGCUAUGGAGACAUAGUUUUCCCUUCGGGGACAGUGGUGACAGGUGGUGCAUGGUUGUCGUCAGCUCGUGUCGUGAGAUGUUGGGUUAAGUCCCGCAACGAGCGCAACCCUUGAUCUUAGUUGCCAUCAUUUAGUUGGGCACUCUAAGGUGACUGCCGGUGACAAACCGGAGGAAGGUGGGGAUGACGUCAAAUCAUCAUGCCCCUUAUGACCUGGGCUACACACGUGCUACAAUGGACGGUACAAACGGUUGCCAACCCGGCGAGGGGGAGCUAAUCCGAUAAAACUGUUCUCAGUUCGGAUUGUAGGCUGCAACUCGCCUAC
rnacentral:rRNA from 1 species